UGGUUUUAUCUGAAGUCAAACUUUCUUAAGUUUGACUAAAUUUAUAUAAAAAACUAUCAAUUUUUAUAAUACCAAAUAAACAUACUAUAAAAAUAUAUUUCAUCAUAAAUCUAAUGAUACUUAUUUGGUUUCAUAAAAAAUAGUAAUUUUUUAUAUAAAUUUGGUCAAACUUAAGAAAGUUUGACUUCAGAUAAAACCAA
rnacentral:pre_miRNA from 1 species